GGCGCGGUAGCCAAGUGGUAAGGCCGAGGUCUGCAAAACCUCUAUGCGUCGGUUCAAUUCCGACCCGCGCCUCCA
rnacentral:tRNA from 4 species